CAGACUUCUUUUUUUUUACUCAUCAGUUUGCGUUUGAUUUUUGUACCUACAUUUUGAACAAUGGAGAUAACCUGGUUAUUUUAUGGCCACAUAAACACACCAGAACCUGAAAAAUACUACUCUUGAUGUUGGCUGUAUAAUUAACCAUGAUUUCUCAUCCAAAAGCUCCACCCCUGCAACUGGCUUGCCAGAGAAAAGUGGAAAUUUCCAGUCAUUCCUUCUGCUUUGCAAGAAAUGCUCCUCCUCCUUCUAGUUUCCCGCCUUUCCGCCUACCUGCUCCUUCCUGUUGCAAACUGGCCUGAAGACCUCCCAGCCCUCUGCUGCUGAACUUUGUGGUGCCCAGCACGUUUUACUGUGUACAAUGAGAAAACGUGCUAUUUCUCACAUAGAUAAAACAUAACAUGUUUUUAUGCUUCUGGCAUCAUACUUGGUCUAUAAAUGUAUUAGCACAGAAAUAUGUUCCUUGAAUUGUAUAA